CCUCAGUUUCUCAGUUUGCAAGCCUGAAGAAAAUAACAGCUGGUCCUAGUGUUACAAAGCAUGGGUGUAGUAAGUGUGAUCAGGACACCAACCACAACUGCUUCUGGCCCUUAGGGCCAGGUCUCACCUCCUCAUAGUGGCGACCUGUCCCAGCUCCCCUAGUGAGAAACUCUAUUGAGAAGGAAGCAAGACAUCUGGAGAGAGCUUUGAGCCGGGUCAGACAGGCAUGGUUAAUCAGGGUAGGUGCACCUCUGACCUAGCCCUGAAUUAUCAUGUACAAAGGCUGCAGUCAGUGAAGGAACUCAGAGAAUGGGAGUCUCAAAGAGGAGGCUAGAAGACAGGCCUAGAAGGGACUUCACAGAAGUCACCCCAAAUGAUCUGAGGAGGAGAAAUGAACCCAAACCAAUGAUACAAGGAGCACCUACUCUGAGCUUUCUGGUCUUGGGUAAUAGUGUACUGUAGGAUGUUUCCUCCGUGAAUUUGUACCCUGGAUUUCUUAGGGCAGCCUAGGAACACCACUUCACUGGUGCCAGAAAACUGCUAUUCAAGAGGAAAUUGACUGGGUUUAGGUCGUUUGGAAAGAGGGCCAGCUGCAUGGAGCUGAACAAACCCUGUCCUGUGGACUGCUACCAUCCCUGCAUCCUCUCAAACAGCACUUGGACUCGGUAGGCCUGAUAAGUUAGAAACGUUUGGCUUAGAUUUUUCUUCAGCCACAAUGAUUUGAGAAACCAAAUGCAGAUGGAAAAUACUCUGUGGAUGUUGUGAAGCCCAAAGCGCCUGAAAAUAGUUUGAAUGCAUUUCCAACCCUUGGCAGGCAGCUGUUUUCCUUCACACUAGCCUGCUCGGUGCAUCUCCGUUCCCAGGGAGAGUGUCUCUGUGGCCUCAGGCCUUCCUGGCUCUUUCCACACUGGUAAUUAGGAGGCAGGUUGUUCCUGAAGAGGAGACUCCACAUAUCUGAAGGCACAGUCAUGGAGUAACUAUGUGAGAACUGCUCUCUUGUGAUAUUUGUUUCAGGAAGUUCUGCAGGAUCUUUCCAGUCUCAUGAAAGAAAAAGAACAAGAAAAAUGUCCUGUCUUGAAUCUUGGCUCUGUUCAUGUGACUUUCCCUAUCUUGCCCACAGCACACUGACAAACACCACAUAUGUCCCAACAAGCUAGUUCCCAGAUCACCGUCCAUUCAUAACCUCAGGCUGCCAUAAGAACCCCUAUUCCUUCCUUCUUGUGAACAAGAAUGCUCCAUUUGGCUCCAAGAAACAGGCUGACAUGACCACAGGGCUGGUGAGCUCUCCAAUCAUUCCACCUGAAAGCAACACCAUCAGAACGAUCGGGUAGUUUUUCUUGGUGGAUUUUAACAGCACAGGGCUAUUUAUUGUUGCCAAAGUGUAAGUGGGAAUAUUCUGGGAAAUGCAAUUUAAUUUCCAAGCUUUGGACUGGUUUCAUUGUUGGUAAUUUCAGUGCUUCUUAGACCAAAUUUAUCACCAAUUAUUCUGUCUGCACCAGAUGUGGUAGGACUUUGUCAUUUU